rnacentral:tRNA from 1 species
GGAGUUGUGGCUCAGAAGUAGAGCACUUGCCUAGCAUGCAUGAGGCACUGGGUUCGAUUCUCAGCACCA